UGUGCCAUAUGACGAUUUUUGAUCGAUUAAAAUGUCUCCGCGAUCUGCUUUAUCGUAAAUAUGGACUGGUUCAGGAAUCGGUUCGAAUCUUGGCGCGACUUUUUGACAGCUAUAUAAACCCAUGGGAUGUGUGGUUGUGAUAGAGGUGAGCUUGGGUUAUUUGAUAGUGUAGCUUAUUUGAUAUUGUUGCUUGUUGUUUCUUUGGAGCCAGCAAAAAAGAGAAAGACUUCCCCUGUAUGGGAAUACUUUGAUCAGAUUUCUUCUAACAAGGUGAAGUGUAUGUUGUGCUCUAAGGAAUUGGGGUACAAUAAUAACACUUCAUCCAUGAUAAGGCAUUACCGUGCAUUGCAUGAGAACAAGGAGAGAAAUGGAUGUGGGCCCAGCCAAGCUACCAGAAAACAAGAGCUGGAUGAGGCCCUGGUCACAAUGAUUGUGAAAGACACACAGCC